rnacentral:rRNA from 1 species
UACGGAGGGUGCGAGCGUUGUCCGGAUUCAUUGGGCGUAAAGCGCGCGUAGGCGGCUCGGAAAGUCGGUCGUGAAAUGCCGGGGCUCAACCCCGGGACUGCGUCCGAUACUCCCGAGCUGGAGGCAGGUAGGGGAGAUCGGAAUUCCUGGUGUAGCGGUGAAAUGCGCAGAUAUCAGGAGGAAUACCGGUGGCGAAGGCGGAUCUCGUGGGCCUUGCCUGACGCUGAGGCGCGAAAGCUAGGGGAGCGAACAGG